AACGAACGCCGGCGGCAUGCCUAACACAUGCAAGUCGAACGAGACCUUCGGGUCUAGUGGCGCACGGGUGCGUAACGCGUGGGAAUCUACCCUUGGGUUCGGAAUAACAGUUAGAAAUGACUGCUAAUACCGGAUGAUGACGUAAGUCCAAAGAUUUAUCGCCCAAGGAUGAGCCCGCGUAAGAUUAGCUUGUUGGUGGGGUAAUGGCCUACCAAGGCGACGAUCUUUAGCUGGUCUUAGAGGAUGAUCAGACACACUGGGACUGAGACACGGGCAAGACUCCUACGGGAGGCAGCAGUGGGGAAUAUUGGACAAUGGGCGAAAGCCUGAUCCAGCAAUGCCGCGUGAGUGAUGAAGGCCUUAGGGUUGUAAAGCUCUUUUACCAGGGAGGAUAAUGACAGUACCGGGAGAAUAAGCUCCGGCUAACUCCGUGCCAGCCGCCGCAGUAA
rnacentral:rRNA from 1 species